UAUAUCUUGGGGGGUGGGAGGAAGACAGCAUAAUUCACCCCACUCUGAUGGGAGUGCCCUGUCCCAAGCCUUGUUAAGCUUUGCAUGAGAUUUGUCCCUAUGUACAGAAUAAUGUGUAGAAUUACACUGAUUUAUUUAAAAUCCAUGCCCCUGCUCUCCUGUAGGUUUCCAUGAAGUGCAUAUUUUUUCAGCUAGAUUCUGUUCUUCAGAAAAUAGUGGUUCAUAAUGGAAAUGUUGAGAGACCCCCUAACAUCUGUCAGUUAUGAAAAUUUCCGAGUAAAGAAAACAGCAGCAAGAAGAAAUUAUUCCUCUUUUCUUCAAGGUUGUGCAGUAUGAGAUGGUUUUGGAUAAAAUUCAGGUAAAACAGCCAAUGAAUUAACACAAAGUCUCAGAAUCAGGGAUUUUUUAAUCCUUUACCUCUUCCCAAAACAGCUCUGCAAGAAAAGCAGAAGGAAAAAAAAAAGCUUAAAUCAGCGACUUACAGAUUUUCCUCUAAGGUUAAUUAAUUGUCAUUAAUUGUGAAGUACUGUAGCAAUGAACAAUAGCUUUGUGCAUGAUAAUGGGGGGGGGAACAACAAGAAGAAAAAAAUAAACCCACAUGGAGCAAUCAUGAGUUUUGAGCUUGCAGAUUUUUUCCCCCUCUCCUCUCCAUAAGGAUCAGUUUGCAAGCCCAAUUCAGACAAUUUAUAAAUAUAAUUACAUUGGUGAAUUAAUUUAGCUGGAUAUGCAGAAUGAUAGAAAAAACCAAAAUUUUGAAGCAGCCAAUGGCUGGCUGGGAAGCAGUAUAGCUACCUCGGUGUCCCAUCUCACAACUGGUUCAACACCAGGAUCAAUCAGCACUGGCCCUUAUCAUUCAGGUAGAACUCACUGGGAAAUUUGGUACAGUCUCCCUAGCUUGUGUUGGCCUGAAACAAAGGUUUCACCAUACACUGGAAUCUAUUUCACCCACUCUCUUGUCUGCCCAGCUAAUAGGGUCAAAUCUGUAUGUACUGCAGAAAUUCCUUUCAAGUUACUGUGUCACUGA
rnacentral:lncRNA from 1 species